rnacentral:rRNA from 1 species
ACCAGGGCUACACACGUGCUACAAUGGCGCAUACAAAGAGAAGCGACCUCGCGAGAGCAAGCGGACCUCAUAAAGUGCGUCGUAGUCCGGAUUGGAGUCUGCAACUCGACUCCAUGAAGUCGGAAUCGCUAGUAAUCGUGGAUCAGAAUGCCACGGUGAAUACGUUCCCGGGCCUUGUACACACCGCCCGUCACACCAUGGGAGUGGGUUGCAAAAGAAGUAGGUAGCUUAACCUUCGGGAGGGCGCUUACCACUUUGUGAUUCAUGACUGGGGUGAAGUCGUAACAAGGUAACCGUAGGGGAACCUGCGGUUGGAUCACCUCCUUACCUUAAAGAA